CCUGACCUUAUCACAUGGUGCUGAGACAUUUGAGGCUAUACAGUGAGUCAUUAGUGUGGAAGGGCCCUGAUUGACUGGGAAGUCCUCUGAACUUGACAGAAGGCAGUGGAAUUCCCUGGAAACUGUCAGAAGCCCCUAGAUCUUUCUUCUAGCUUCCAUUAGCUUCUUCCCCUGUUCCAUUAAUAGAUAGAAGAUUCUACCUGCUUAUCUAAGCCUCUGUACAAUAUGGUAUAAAGGGAGGCCUUUUGUCUGCCUUGGAGAACAACCAAUUCAACCAUCUUCUAUCCUACACAACUUGUGUGACUUGCACAUCUUACUAAGCUGCUAACCCCAGCUAGGGUUCUUACACUUACUUAGUGUAUUAAUUCUCAGUUAAGUAGUUGCUUUACUGCUUAACCACUUGGACUAAUCCUCUAGGUGAAAUUCUACAGAGUGAGUCUGACAAUUGAUAGUCUUGCCAGUUGCACUCCAAUACCCGAUAGUUAUUGAUCAGUUGAUUUUCCUGUUCAGUAUCUUUCACAAGUCAAGUCAAGUUGCUUAUAAAAGCUACCUCACAUGCACUUCUCUUAUGUCUCUUGUUAUUGCUGUGCACUGACAGAUUAUCAGGUCAGUCCAUUUAUAAACUUGCCUGCUAGGUGUCUUCCUCUUUCUUUGGAAUACACUUGAACCCUGAAAGUGUCCUUGAACCUACAGUCUAAUAGUUUAUUAUGCAUUGCUGCUAAGAAAUGCAUUGCCUUCCAUCUGUGAUAACUUAGACUAGUUACGGAUUGCAACCAAGGUACAAAUAUUAAAUUAUUUCCAGAGUUGUGCUGCAGCAGUGCUAGUAUUAUAGAAGUCUCAUAUAUGACACAUUCUGAUAGAUUGAAGUGUUAGCAAUAACACCAAAGUCUUGAAGGGUUCCAAAACAGUAUAGGGGUGAAAGACUAAUUGAACCAUCUAGUAGCUGGUUCCUGCUGAAGUUUCCCUCAGGAUAGCAGAGACUCAUAUUAGAUUUAUGUGGUAAAGUGAAUGAUUAGGGGCCUUGGGGUUGAAACAACCUUAACCCAUUCUCAAACUUUAAAUAUGUAAGAGCAAGCGGUCACUUGAUUGGACUGCUUGGCAAAUGAGAGUCUCUAGAGGGCCAUUUUUAGUAAGCAGAACUGGUGAUGCGGGAUGAACCGAUCGUGAGGUUAAGGUGCCAGAAUACAUGCUCAUCAGACACCACAAAAUGUGUGAGUUCAUCUAGACAGCAGGACGGUGGCCAUGGAAGUCAGAAAUCCGCUGAGGAGUGUGUAACAACUCACCUGCUGAAUGAACUUGCCAUGAAAAUGGAUGGUGCUCAAGUGUGUUACCCAUACCUUGCUGUCAGUGUUGAAGUGAUGCACUGAUGAGUAGGUAGGCAUGAGGGUCCAUGAAGAAGCCUUGGCAGCAAUGCUGGGUGAAAUGGCCUUCAGUGCAGAUCUUGGUGAAAGUAGCAAAUAGACGAGUGAGAACCUCGUUGACUGAAGUGGAGAAAGGUUCCAUGGUAACAGCAGUUGGACAUGGGUUAGUCGAUCCUAAGAGAUAGGGAAGCUCCAUUUCAAAGUGUGCGAUUCUUUGUGCCUCCUAUCGAAAGGGAAUCUGGUUAAGAUUCUGGAACCAGGAUGUGGGUUGUUGGCGGCAAUGCAAAUGAACUUGGAGAUGCUGGUGAGGGCCCCAGGAAGAGUUUUCUUUUCUCCUUAACAGCCUACCACCCUGAAAUUGGUUUGUCUGGAGCUAGGGUUCAAUGGCUGGUAGAGCUUGGCACCUCUGCCAGGUCCAGUGCAUCCUUGAUAGUCCUUAAAAAUCCAAGGGAAUGAAUUGGCUUCGCACCUGGUUGUACUCAUAACCGCAGCAGGUCUCCAAGGUGAACAGCCUCUAGUUGAUAGAACAAUAUAGAUAAGGGAAGUUAGUAAAAUAGAUCUGUAACUUCAGGAAAAGGAUUGGCUCUAAGGGUUGGGUACGUUGGGUCUUGGCUGGAAGGCUUGGGACCUGGCCGGGACUAUUUGAGAGGGGCUCUGCCCUUUGGACGGACCUGGCUGGGACUUGGGCAUGGAUGGCCUUGGCUGCCUUCAGGUGUCUGGCGUACACUUAAUAACUGACUUAGAACAGGUAUGGACAAGGGGAAUCUGACUGUCUAAUUAAAACACAGCAUUGCGAUGGCCAGAAAGUGGUGUUGACACAAUGUGAUUUCUGCCCAGUGCUCUGAAUGUCAAAGUGAAGAAAUUCAACCAAGCACGGGUAAAUGGCAGGAGUAACUAUGACUCUCUUAAGGUAGCCAAAUGCCUUGUCAUCUAAUUAGUGAUGUGCAUGAAUGGAUUAAUGAGAUUCCCACUGUCCCUAUCUACUAUCUAGUGAAACCACAGCCAAGGGAACGGGCUUGGCAGAAUCAGUGGGGAAAGAAGACCCUGUUGAGCUUGACUCUAGUUUGAUAUUGUGAAAGGACAUAGAGGGUGUAGAAUAAGUGGGAGCUUCGGCACUGGUGAAAUACCACUACCUUUAUUGUCUUUUUACUUAUUCAGUGAGGUGGAGCUGGGACUUGGUCCCACCUUUUGGCUUCAAGGUCCUUCAUGGCCGAUCCAGGCCGAAGACAUUGUCAGGUGGGGAGUUUGGCUGGGGUGGCACAUCUGUUAAAAGAUAACACAGGUGUCCUAAGGGGGACUCAUUGAGAAUGGAAAUCUCAAGUAGAACAAAAGGGUAAAAGCCCCCUUGAUUUUGAUUUUCAGUGUAAAUACAAACCAUGAAAGUAUGGCCUAUCGAUCCUUUAGUCCCUCGGAAUUUGAGGCUAGAGGUGCCAGAAAAGUUACCACAGGGAUAACUGGCUUGUGGCAGCCAAGUGUUCAUAGUGAUGUUGCUUUUUGAUCCUUUGAUAUUGGCUCUUCCUAUCAUACUGAAGCAGAAUUCAGUGAGUGUUGGAUUGUUCACCCACUAAUAGGGAAUGUGAGCUGGGUUUAGACCGUCAUGAGACAGGUUAGUUUUACCCUACUGAUGGAGCAUUAUCGUAACAGUAAUUAAACUUAGUACAAGAGGAACCAUUCAUUCAGAUAUUUGGUAUUUGUGCCUGUCCGAUCGGGCAAUGGUGUGACACUAUCAUCUGUUGGAUUAUGGCUGAAUGCCUCUAAGCCAGAAUCUGUGCCGGAGACGAUGAUGUUGGUCCCGCUAAAGAUGCACUAACAGGAAUAAUACCUAUUAGCCUGCAUGCAAUGGUCCUUCUACCCGGACGGUCUAUAAUGCAGUCGUUUGUGGGCAAAGAGACUACAGC
rnacentral:rRNA from 1 species